UGAUGGCUGACAUUUUACAGAGUCUGAUACGGGGCUGGUCCAGAAGUGCCGGAUCAUACGUGAUGUAGACACUGAAUGUCUGCCUCUCUGGGCUCUCCCUCAGGAGGGCCUCUGUAGAGUACAGGUGAUUAGGAGCAGUUUCUGGCCCAAAAUCAUUCAGUUGUUGUUUGUUUUACUAGCACCACUAAAGCUACAACUGCUCCCAAACUGACCAACCAGAAGAAACAAUAUCAAGUCUUUUGAACAGCUCCACAGGCAAUGGUGACUUCCCAGCCACAAAAUUAGCUUCAUUGCUACUUCAGAACGGUAAGGUUGCUACUGUUAUAAAUUGUAAUGUAAAUAUCUGUUUCCUGAUAGUUUUAGAUGACCCCUGUAAAAGGGUCUUUAGACACCACCCCCAUCAUAGGAGUCUCAGCUUACAGGUUGAGAACCAAUUCUCUAGGGUCUUAAUUAUGUCUGAGUGUUCUACAAACCCCAAGGUCAAGCCACACAUUACAACAUCUUCCUGGUGACAUCUGUCCAUCCUGAGAAUAUGCCCUGUAUGCCCAAGGAAGCCACAGAGAUGCCUCUGAACAAAAUGCCCUACCCAUCUGGGCACUGCUCACUUGGGGACUGGAUCAUUCUUGGCUAUGGGGUUGUUUUGUGUAUUUAAGCAGUGUCCCUGGCCUUGUCUAUCAGAUGCCUGUGUCAACCCUUCCAUGACCACCAAAAAAUGUCACCAGAUGUUGCCAAAUGUCCACUGGGGGGCAAGGUCGCUCUUGAAUAAGAACUUCCACCCCAGGGAAGGCUCUGGGGUUGAGAAAACACAGUAAUUAUUCAACAGGCCUUACCUGGGGUACAAAUCCUUCAGCCUCCAUAAGAGUCGAAGAAUCUAUUCCACUAGCACAGCACUUGGCUAAAGAGAUGCAGGAUGGACGGUGAGAACUCCCUUCAAAACCAGAAACCAUAUCAUGAAUUGUUGUGUCUCUGAGAACUAAGUUGAAUGUCACGGUUGUUCAUGGUAUGAGUCCAUAGACUACAUUUGCUUUAAAAACAUUGAGGGCCUGGGAGAAGGCUCAGUCAGUAAAGUGCUUGCUGUACAAGAGUGAAAAACCUAAAUCUAAGCCCCAGAGCCCAGGUAAGAAGCCAGCGUUGUUUGCCAAUAACCGUAGAGCUGGGGUGAUGGACACAGGUGGGUCCCGGGCGCACAGGCUGGCCAGCCUAGCUGAAUUGCUGAGUCCAGGUCAAUGAGAGACUCUGUCCCCAAGGAAAACUAGGUGAAUGGUACCUGAGAAACAACAUCAUAGCCUGACCUGUGGCCUUCACAUGCACACACACAACUGCACCCACAUAAACACACGUUACUUAACUAAUUAAUCAAAUACUGGAGAGAGCAGUGUGUGGUGAUGUCUAUCUUUAAUCUCACAAACAGAGGCAAAAGGAUUGUGCAUUUGAGGACAGUCUGGGCAACAUUGAAAGACCCUGACUCAAAAUUCUCAUGUGGUAAAAGGUCAAGCUCUGCCCAGUGUGGACUCAAAGUCUCCUCCUGGCUGUCUGUGGAAGACAGCCACUUUCUGAUGCCUGAGGAUCAAGAUGUAAAACUCUCAGCUCCUCCAGCACCAUGUCUGCCUGCAUGCUGCCACACUUCCCACCAUG